UUGUACGAACAGAUUUGCGGUCGAGUCAAUCCGAAUUGGAAGUGUAGAACUUUUGUUGUGUUCAGCUAGCAAAGCAUUUUAUUUAACAAAGUAAAAGUAGGAAUAAAACAGUGUUGAAUAAAUAAAUGAGCUAGCGAAAGAUUAGCUAGCAAAGUGUACAUACAUACAUAUAUGCAUUUACAAACGGGAAAUAUUUUUCUAUUAUAAAAAUACAGAAAUUAUUUAAUCAAAUUUUAAUUAUCUGGUGAGAGCAAAAAAAGUGAGGCGCGUUUAAAAAGGAGUGUCUGCGUAUGUUGCAGGGGAAAUGUGUUAACGAACAGCAGCACAAAAACGUAACGAAACAAGAAAGAAUAAACGACAAGCAGCAAAAAGA